rnacentral:rRNA from 1 species
UACGUAGGGACCGAGCGUUGUCCGGAAUCAUUGGGCGUAAAGAGCGUGUAGGCGGCCUUUUAAGUCCUGCGUGAAAUCCUGCGGCUCAACCGCAGACGGUCGUGGGAAACUGGAAGGCUAGAGUGCGGGAGAGGAGAGUGGAAUUCCCGGUGUAGCGGUGAAAUGCGCAGAUAUCAGGAAGAACACCCGUGGCGAAAGCGGCUCUCUGGGCAGUAACUGACGCUGAGGAGCGAAAGCGUGGGGAGCGAACAGG